AUGAAAUAAAAUGAGCUAAAUAUCUGUACAUCAACUUCUCAGCAAUGAUUUAUUUUCCUAAUAAAAAGUAUUCUCUAUUUUGAACAAAUAUGAUAUAAAUAAUAUAAAGUAGAGAAAAUGGGCAAGCAAGAAAAAAAGGUCAACAUAUGAUAUAUAGGAAAUUAUUUGGGUAUCAUAGGUCUAAGAAUCUGAGGACUAGAAGUUCAUUUCAAUCUACCUUGGUCCAAGAACCCCAGGGGUAAAACAAAAACUUAUUAUUGCCAGAAAAUGAAAUUGGCUGCACUAUUUCAUUUUGUGAGAAUUUUAUGACCUGGCAUGCUAUCCCGAUGAUCAAGACUAUAGUUUUGGUUGUUUUUUAAAACUUCAGAGAAAUAUAAUUAUGCAUUCUUUUUA
rnacentral:lncRNA from 1 species